UAGUCAUAUGCUUGUCUCAAAGAUUAAGCCAUGCAUGUCUAAGUGUAAACAAAUUUAUACUGUAAAACUGCGAAUGGCUCAUUAUAUCAGUUAUAAUUUAUUUGAUAGUAACUUACUACUUGGAUAACCGUGGUAAUUCUGCAGCUAAUACAUGCGUUAAAGCCCAACUUUUUGGAAGGGCCGUACUUAUUAGAUUUAAGCCAACUGGGGGUAACCUCAUUUAUGGUUGAUUCAUAAUAAUUUUUCGAAUCGAAUGUCUUUACGACGUCGAUGGUUC
rnacentral:rRNA from 1 species